rnacentral:rRNA from 1 species
GACGAACGCUGGCGGCGUGCCUAAUACAUGCAAGUAGAACGCACAGUUUAUACCGUAGCUUGCUACACCAUAGACUGUGAGUUGCGAACGGGUGAGUAACGCGUAGGUAACCUGCCUGGUAGCGGGGGAUAACUAUUGGAAACGAUAGCUAAUACCGCAUAAUAUUAAUUAUUGCAUGAUAAUUGAUUGAAAGAUGCAACUGCAUCACUACCAGAUGGACCUGCGUUGUAUUAGCUAGUAGGUGAGGUAACGGCCCACCUAGGCGACGAUACAUAGCCGACCUGAGAGUGUGUUCGGCCACACUGGGACUGCGACACUGCCCAUACUCCUACGUGAGGCAGCCGUAGGGCAUCUUCGGCAAUGGACGAAAGUCUGACCGAGCAACGCCGCGUGAGUGAAGAAGGUUUUCGGCUCGUAAAGCUCUGUUGUAAGAGAAGAACGGGUGUGAGAGUGGAAAGUUCACACUGUGACGUUAUCUUACCAGAAAGAGACGGCUAACUACGUG